AUAUCAGUCAUGCAUAGCAUAUCAAUAAGCGGAGGAAAAGAAACUAACAAGGAUUCCCUUAGUAACGGCGAAUGAAGCGGGAAGAGCUCAAAUUUGAAAUCUUCAAGGUUUUACCUUGACGAAUUGUAGUUUAAAGAAGUGUUUUCUGUUGGAGUUUUGGUAAAAGUUCUUUGGAAUAGGACAUCAUAGAGGGUGAGAAUCCCGUAUUUGACCAUUAUUUCCAACUUUGUGAUACACUUUCAAAGAGUCGGAUUGUUAGGGAAUGCAGUCCAAAAUGGGUGGUAAAUUUCAUCUAAAGCUAAAUACUGGCGAGAGACCGAUAGCGAACAAGUACCGUGAGGGAAAGAUGAAAAGAACUUUGAAAAGAGAGUUAAACAGUACGUGAAAUUGUCAAAAGGGAAGCGUUUGACACCAGUGUUGUUUUCCCUCGAAAAUCAAUUAAAAAUGGUGGGAUUUUGUGUUGUAUUGACCUUAUCAGCUUCCUGCACUUUUUUCCUGUCUUUUUUAAUGCACUUUUCGUUUAACAAGUCAACAUCAAUUUCUUUUGUUGUAAAAGGGUCAUUGGAAGGUGGCUUUCUUUUCGGAGAAAGUGUUUAUAGCCUUUGGCCUCUGCAAUCGGAGAGAUUGAGGCCUGCAGCGUAGAUCCUUCGGGGUUAGAUGCAUUUGUGCUAAGCUAUAGCCUUUCAUAGACAACUUGUUGACUAUGAUCAGUCAUGUAACUUACUCGCUUAUGCUAUUUUACCUACGCUUAGGAUGUUGAUGUGAUACUGCGAGCA
rnacentral:rRNA from 1 species